UACAGCCAUAUCCUGUUGAAACACCAGUUCUCAUACAAUCACCAAAGUUAAGCAUUGUCAAGCCUGAUCAGUACCUAGAUGGGUAAUUGUUUGGGAAUACCAGGUACUGUA